GAAGUUAGGAGUCAUCCUUUCAGAGCUGUGUGUGUGUGUGAAUGUGCCCAGAUGGAACACCAUGAGCCAGAAGCACCCCUGUGCAGUAGAUUCUGUGCCUUUUGCAAGCAUCUCCUACAGAUACUGGCUGCUGGAAACACCUUGCAGCCUACUUCAUCAUAUGUGAUUGGUGAAUAAAAGAGGUUACAUGACACCAAAAGCAAAGCUACUAUUUCUUCUUUGACCCUUGAAGAACUGAAAAGAAAGCUCCCUGCUGCCACGUUUCCAGUUCCACAACUCUGCCCAAGCUGCCCCAAGCCUGCGCUUCCAGGACAGCCUUCUCUGAUGUGUGACACCCUACAUGUUGCCUGUAGCAAGCCACACUCCAUGCCACAGUCUGUCUGUCCCUCCCCUUUGAACCAACUUUAGUUUGCCUCUUUCCCACCUUGACAUUUUGACAAACUGACAAUGGCCCAGAAUUUUUCCUAUGCUCCUCUCCUUGAGUUUCUGCCUGCCCCUGUGGAUUCAAAGGACAGGUUUUUACCCUGGCAAAAUGACCCUUUUUUAAGGACAUGUCCUAAGGGAACCUGCAGCAACCUCACCCUGGCUGAGACACACUGGGUACAGAAUAUAACUUCUUGGUAUUUGGCCUCAGGAGUCACUCAUUCAUUACACAGAGUCUUUAUCUUUGUGCAUAUCCUGGAACAAUACUCUUAAAUAAAUACUCUCAGAGGCA